GCCACCUUAGCUCAGCUGGUAGAGCAAUGCAUUCGUAACGCAUAGGCCGUGGGUUCGAAUCCCAUAGGUGGCU
rnacentral:tRNA from 1 species